GAUGAACGCUGGCGGCGUGCCUAAUACAUGCGAGUCGAGCGAACAGACGAGGAGCUUGCUCCUCUGACGUUAGCGGCGGACGGGUGAGUAACACGUGGAUAACCUACCUAUAAGACUGGGAUAACUUCGGGAAACCGGAGCUAAUACCGGAUAAUAUAUUGAACCGCAUGGUUCAAUAGUGAAAGACGGUUUUGCUGUCACUUAUAGAUGGAUCCGCGCCGCAUUAGCUAGUUGGUAAGGUAACGGCUUACCAAGGCAACGAUGCGUAGCCGACCUGAGAGGGUGAUCGGCCACCCUGGAACUGAGACACGGUCCAGACUCCUACGGGAGGCAGCAGUAGGGAAUCUUCCGCAAUGGGCGAAAGCCUGACGGAGCAACGCCGCGUGAGUGAUGAAGGUCUUCGGAUCGUAAAACUCUGUUAUUAGGGAAGAACAAAUGUGUAAGUAACUAUGCACGUCUUGACGGUACCUAAUCAGAAAGCCACGGCUAACUACGUG
rnacentral:rRNA from 1 species